UUCACCUUCCGGAGGCGACUUGGUGUGUUUACGUACAUCUAUUGCAUUGCUCAUCAGUUUCAACCGUUUAUUGAGGUGUUACCUCAUGCAUUGUGUUUCAUAUCGUUUUGCAAGUCUUUGAGAAACCACCAUCUCUCUACUCUGAAAUUAUCUCAGGCUUUCCAGACACAUUUCAGGACCACUGAGCAAAGUCUCUUCCUUCGUUGCCAGUCCAUCCCCUUCCAAUCAGCUCAGAGUCUGUGCUUUAGAUGGACAAACACUGAUGUGCAAUUUUAAUUAAAGCGAGAUCAAGUGCCAAUGUCUGUGCAAACACACAGGUGUUUUUUUAUUAUUAUUAUUAUUAUUAUUUUAUUUUAUUUUACAGUCAUUUCAGAAUGUGUAAAAACUUUUUACAAAAAGGAUUUUGUGUAAAUUGUGUGUUAUCAUAUCAAUAGUUGGUUUCUUCUGUAAUGUGACUUAUUUCCAAAUAAGUGAAACGGAUAUUCAGUGAGGGCAGGAAUUGAUCUGAUGGUGAAAUUGAGCUUUAAGUACCAGAAUGUAGCCAGACUAAAUGCUAGUUUGCUAAAACAACACCUAAAUAGCUAUUUGACUUACGGUUAAGAUUUGUAAAUAGUCUGUGUGACCUAAUAAACAGAUGAACUGUUCAAAAUAAGUCAUUAAUGUGUAUUCAGAAAGUAAAUAGGGACAAUUUUGAUGUCAUGUUGACUGCGAAGUUUUGAUGAAACAGAAGAAGUGAUAGAUCUUGUCUCUUUU
ensembl:lncRNA